rnacentral:rRNA from 1 species
GAUGAACGCUGGCUACAGGCUUAACACAUGCAAGUCGAGGGGAAACGACGGGGAAGCUUGCUUCCCCGGGCGUCGACCGGCGCACGGGUGAGUAACGCGUAUCCAACCUGCCUCUGACUGAGGGAUAACCCGUCGAAAGUCGGCCUAAUACCUCAUGGUAUCGUCUGCGGGCAUCCAACGACGAUUAAAGAUUUCAUCGGUCAGGGAUGGGGAUGCGUCUGAUUAGCUUGUUGGCGGGGUAACGGCCCACCAAGGCUACGAUCAGUAGGGGUUCUGAGAGGAAGGUACCCCACAUUGGAACUGAGACACGGUCCAAACUCCUACGGGAGGCAGCAGUGAGGAAUAUUGGUCAAUGGGCGAGAGCCUGAACCAGCCAAGUAGCGUGCAGGAAGACGGCCCUAUGGGUUGUAAACUGCUUUUAGGCGGGGAUAAAGUGAGGGACGUGUCCCUCAUUGCAGGUACCGCAUGAAUAAGGACCGGCUAAUUCCGUG